UUGCAGAUUCACGGAUGCUACGUAUGUUGUGAGAAAACUUAAUAAAAUAAUCAAUAACUGUUGGAUGGGGCAGUAUACUAGUUGGACCAUCGCUCUAAAAGAAGUAAAGGACUUGUGGUGGAAUGAGUUCAAGCGGAAGUUCAGGUGGGAUGAAGCGAAAGAGAAAGAAGUUAAAAUAAUUUUUAAGAAAAAAGCCGGUGAUCACAUGCGAAAUGUGAUGAAUAGAGCAGAGACAAGUCAAGAAAAGCCGGAUUUUAUUACAGCUGACAAUUAGAUGGAAAUUAAGAGAACUUGGGACACCGAAAAGCAUAAGCAAAUUAGUGAAUAAAAUAAAAAGAAUCGAGCUUCUAGUUCUAGUGAAGGGUCUGCCACAUAUGCUGGGGGUUCUAUCAACAUCAGGGAGCAUAGAAAAAGAAUGGCAGAUGAAUUGGGAACGGAACCGACAUUUAUAGCUACAUUUGAACGCACAUUUCAGAAAAAAGAUAAGACAUGGACUGGCGAUCGAGCAAAAGCUAUUAAAGAAAAAUAUGAUGAACUUGUAAUAAGCACUGCUGCUAGUGGUGGUGAUGGUGUUGCUGCGUCCGAGCCAUCGGUUGACAGUAUGGCAUUAUGGGUGAAGGCAUCGGGUGGAAUGAGAAGAGGUCAAAUAUUUGGGAUGGGAUCCUUGUCAAGGAUAUACACAACGCAGGCUGCUGCAACUUCAUCCUCCAAUGCGGCUUUUUUAAGGAGGACACAACACGAGGAUCAAAUGACCCAAGAAUUGAGCCAACUAAAACAUUUACUUGUGCAGAAGGACGA